GUAUGUGUUGUCUUUUGUUCUGACACAGUUAUCAUUGCCUGUUUUGUUGGAGGCAGUCUGACCAUCGCCAGGAAUGUCAUUGGAUACAUUUUCACCUCAGAGCAUGACGUUAUUCAAAGAUUUUCCAAAGUCAUGGUCAUAUUCGUUUUUAUUCAUGUUUCUGAUGCCACUGUGGGCGUGGCUGCGAGUGUUCUCAGAGGAGCAGGGAAACAGUUCAUUGGUGCUCUGUGGAAUCUGGUGG